GUGCUGACAGCCCUUAACAGCCUCUAACAACACUGCUUGGCCUCACCUGGGCCCUCUCCCAGCCACCAUUUUAUCUCAGCCCAGGGUUAGGCCUUAUGCCCUUGUCUCUAAGGUGUCUAUAUCUUGGUGGACCUUGGAUCACCCCUGUUUUCGCAAUUCUGUGCCUAGAAGCUUCUUUCUGUGUUGUUGUGCUAUCCUGCUGUGGGGAUGAGCUCAUUGCCUGGCUUGUGCUGCUGCCUUGCUGAGCCUGUGUCCCUGACCUGCUGUGGCUGGAAAAUUGUUAAUUUGAACUUUCAAAUGGCUUCAGCAUAUGUUCCUGCAGUCUGCUGCAUGAGUGCUCUCCUCCUAUCCAGAAAGGACGGGCUUGGCAAGCAGAUCAAGAUGGUUCUCAGAGUAAGGCUUCUAGUAAUGCGUUGACAACUUCCACUCACCACAGCACUUGACUUGCCAUGUGCACAUCUCUUGUGUGGGGUGUGUGGCUCAUGGUAUUUUUGGAACAGCUACUUCCUAAGACUUGUGCAAACUUCUCCAACGUGCUUUUCAGGAAUCUAGCAUCACACUUUGCUUUGGGGUACAUCCAGUUGGGUAAAGUGGAACCCAGUGGUGAGUUGUAUCCUACUCCAAACAGCCAGAGUUUCUUGUGGUUUUCUGGUUCCAAAGCUGAAUAACUGCCUUCUAAUGAUGAGAUUUUUCUUACACUUUGAAUAUAGUACAUGAACAAAAGGAUUCAGUUGCCUAAACAUUGGUCAAUUGUGCAGAAGCUGAGUAUUGAAGAUAAUGCAUUCCCUUACAGUACACUUUUUUUCUGCCACUGGUUCUUUCUAACACAUUCAGACACAGAAUCAUCAAGUGGCUAAUAGAGAUAGUAUCAAUAGUGCUACGUGAGGAUCUUUCAUCACACAGGAUAUUUAAACAAAGAGCCUUCAAGGGACUGACUGGGUCAAACACCACUGAAGAUCAUUGAACACAGCACUUGUGACAUAGAAACAGAAUUGUAGAGCUGGUAAUGUGCUGAAUGUUGAGCAGCGUGUGAUCAGGACAUGAUUUUUCUGGGAAGAAUACGUCUUAUGAGCUGAAGGAGUAGCCAAUAACUGAAAGAAUGCACUAAAAUCAGGCUAAAGGGUCUUACCUUCUGAGAUUGUUCUUCUGCUUCAGAGAAUGAUACCACUAAGGUGGGUUACUCUGUUUUAGGAUCAAUAUACAGAAAACUGCCUAAUAUGUUGACAGCUUACUAAGUCAUUGGUCUAAAGACAUGUGAGAUGUCACAAAGAUUAGCAUCUUGAAAGACUAACCCCUAAACUUGUACAGCUGUGUAUUACAGUGGAACAGGCUUGCUUCUAAAGUUUUACACACCUUUUCAAGGAGAAAAACAUUAAUCUUGUUUUUCAACAAUAUUGUGCUAGUCUAUUUCAGACCAUUUAUAAGUUGAGUUAUCUUUUGGGGCUGUAGGAUUCUACAGAGAAUUCCAUGUUUCAUGUGUUAAAUUCAGCACAAAUGCAGGAGCUUCUUUGCAAGAUGUAAAUGUCGUUUCUUUGUUUGCACUGCCUUGAUAGGUAAAGAAAACUUGAAUGUUCGUAUUUGAAACAAACUCAGAGCAAAACUAAAAUUCUAUUAUUAUGCAAGACAAGUACAUAAUUAGUUUCACAGUUGGAGAAUCAAGUCAUAACUGAAGCUAUAUUUCUACUUAAAUUCAGUCAUAAUAUUUUUCUAGAGAAGGUGUGAAAAAGGCAAGAGGAUACAUAAUGGGGUUGAGAUCACAGUACACUGAAAGAACAAUUUAUUCCCAGUCUGGAAAGAUAGAAACUAUUUUGAUUCUUUUCUACCGAAUUGUUUUCCAUCUGCUCAAUAGAUUACAGUGUAAUAUUAUAUUAUGUCCUGUAAUGUGUAUUUAUGUAAUUAUUAUUAAUCAUACUAUAUUAUUUAGCAUAUCAAAUUGCAUUGUAAUUACUUUCUUCCUGAUACUCUGAAGAAAACAUCAGGGUGAUAUUUGACUCCCUAAAAGUGGAAUAAAUGGAGCUAGUUAUCUUUUCAGCAUAAUCAGGUGACUUCCUCCUCCUGACUUGAAAUAACUGCAAGGCCCGGCCAGAAGCCAGUGAUUAUUUAAUAUUUUAGUCUCUUCAGUGCAGUAGGGUAUUCCACUUGAUAUCUACAGAAUGUUGCAGAAGAAAACAAUUCCAGUCUGCUUUUGUUCUUAUCGGCUACUGAAAAUGUAUGCUUGUUUCAUUUUUAAAUGCAGCACUUCAUAUGCUCCCCCAAGCAGGUGAUAUGAACAAAGCCAGCAGUUUGGACCUACAUAAAUCAAAUGCGAACAACUUCUGUGAAGGGUGUGACAAAAUGCUAUCAAAAAAAAGUAUGUGGGUGGGAGAUAAACUGCUCUUAAGCCUCACAGCACAAAUUAGGUGUGGACUUACUUUACAAAGGAAACACAGAAGCAAUGAGUUAACUGUUGUAUACCCUGUAGUGAAUUCAGCUAGUAACACUUGAACUGUGAUUGCAGCAUGGUGCUGACUUUCCUUCUAAAAACAGUCUGUCAGAUACAUCUGCUGCAUCUGUACAUUCAUUGUCAGUUUGAUGGCCUCAUUCUGCACUCUUCCUGUAUGAGGAGGUUUUUAAAUAUAAGCUGGCUAGGCUUGUGUAGAAGAGAUGCAGAUUCAGGAAUGGAAAUAGCGGUGAUCCCUGACAAGAAUAUGUCAACAUCGUAAUGAGAAAUUCUUUAGGUUUUGCUGGGCCUAGAUUUAGACUAGGUCCAUCUGCAAAAGUUUUGCAUCUCUGUUAUGGGGCCUGCACUUGUUCUUGUUUCUCAAGACAAGGUGCUUAUAGGUGAGGGGAUGUCUCUGACCACUGAGCAAUGAGAGGUCAUUUUAUAGAAACUGCCAGUGUCCAGCCAGCAGUGCGGUAUUUGUGGGAUUGAGAGAAGCACCAGGCAAAAGAGUUUUUGCCUAGCAAAGGGGGAUCUUGGUUAAAAACUGAAGGCUUUGCUUUGAGGAGCAGGCUUUCAGAACUUGUUAUGUGUCUUAUUAAAUAGCUACUGGAUUAAAAAUCAGAAACGCUCCUGAAAUCAGAACCCAGAACUCUGGCCUCCUUUUUUGCAAUCUUGUAGUUGGGAUGAGGAGAAGAUAAUCCCCCUGCUCUAGCCUCAUCCUCUGUACUUUGUGCAGAACCAGAGCACAGCUGCGUGCCGUAUGCUUCUGGGUCAGGACUUGAGUGCUCCAAUUAAACUGUCUGACUUGGCAGCACUCCUCAUCUCUCUGUCAAGAUGUGUCCCAGGAGCUUUCCAGAUCCAUGCGGAAACCUAGGCACAAGGAAAGGAGAUCUGGGCAAACAGGCUGGUGGUAGCUGCAGAGUGUGCCAGCCAUGUCCUGGCUCUGGGCUUGCUUGGGUCUGAGUUGCAGCUGUGCCUUGGACAGCACGGCCCACACAGCUCCAAAGAGAGACUCAGGCUUCUGAGUUAGCUUUGAGUAGUUAUGAAACAACUGGCAUCUUGGGUUCAGGCCCUUUUGAUAGGGGCAAAAAAGACAUGUCAAUAAAGGAGAGGCUUUUGGGUGUUUGAUUCUUUCAAAGGAUCAAGCCUUCAACUGUCAUGAUUCUUUUCUCAUAUCAGAGAAUUGGAAGCAGUUCAGUCUAGUUCUUUAGGUAAUGCAUUUUGUGGAUUGCUAUGGUGUGUGUGUUUGCAUCCCAUACUGGGAUGCAAAUAUUUACAUGAACAUACAUGUAAAAAGAAGUGUCGUUAAAAGAGUAGGCUCAAGAAAUUAGAGAUGAAAUAUCAAUCCUUUUUUAUCAAAUGAUAAUUAAUUUCCCUUCUAGAACUUGGAUUUAACUGAUUAUAAAUGCAUUUUACUCUAAGGACUAAUUUAGCAACUGGGUCAGUGGCUACAAUACCAACCUCAUCAGUUAUAUGAUGGAUAAAGGCAUCUGACACUACCUUUGCUUUUUGAAAGGUUUCCAGCAGUUUCUUCUGUCAUGUUGCGACUGCAUUCGAUCCGUAGCUUUCAAAAACAAUAAAACAUGUAAUGACUUUGUAGUUGAUAAUGCUGCAUAUUUAUCAAGAACAGAAAACUCUUCCCUGAAGCAUAAUACUUCAAUUUAUUGUUAUUCAGAGUAAUAGUAUUUCUGUACAAUAAUUUAUUAAAGUUGGCAUAAAUGAAGAAUGACCUAUAAGUAGAAAAUCUGGGGUGGGUAAAGCAUCUAAUUGCUUCUUUGUAAUGUGGAUAAGAAUACUAUGUUUCCUGAACCAUUUAAAUGGCAAAGUAUUAUUCUCUUUGAAAUUGCAUUCUAUAACAAGCAGUAUUAAUGUUAAUAAGCUUUUAAUUACAAAAAUUAAUUGUAGUGCAUGUGCACUAAAUAUUUGCACCACAAAUAAGAAUCUGGCUGUGGUUGAGCCAGGUGUAGACAGACAGUUUACUAGCUUUCUACAUGCAGUUGUCAGUGUAGGUUAAUCCAGGCCUGACACAAUCCUCAGAUUCACUCUAGGGCCCCUCAGCACAGACUACGCUUGUUAUGAAUGCUGUCAGAUAGUCUGAUGGAUUUGUUUGUGGUGUAACACCAUCGCUGAAUUGAGCAGAAGCUGCCACUUCAUACUAGCUUGUGAACAUGAAGCAAUUCUUCAGAAAAUAAAUAUAUAAAUAAAAAGGGGGGGGGGGGGGGGGGAGGGAAAGAAACAAAAACAAACAAAAUACCCACUAAUCUACUUUAAAAAAAAAAAAGAUGCUUAUGUCAGUCAUUCAUAGGUGAAAGAUCAUGUUAUCCAAAUUCAAAAACUGCAAACACUAAUUUUUAUUUAGUGAAACCAAUGAAGUAAUCGAUGGAGUUAACUGCAUCAUUAUAAACAAAGUACAGCCUUAAAUGAUGUGACUAUGCAAUGUAUUAGAAUACUGUACAUAUAUUUCAAAUAAAUUCAAGUUUAUUUUUGUGCAGGUA